rnacentral:lncRNA from 1 species
CUUCAACCCAACUCUUUGACUCGCCGGAUCGACCCAGAACCUUUCCCUACUCAAAUCUCAGCCAUUAAUUUAAUUUCAUAAAUGGCCAUAAUUAAUCCCUCACUCCAUAUAAAAUCUUAUUUUUCUCAAACCUUAAACCUAAAUCUCUAACCAUUUCGGUGCCCCCUCUUCACCCCAUGUCCACCUUCUAACUGGCCGAAACUCGCCGAAAACUCACUGAUUCCGGCGAGUUAACUCAUGGUCCCCCUUUUCCUUCUCUCUUUCUUCCACGUGACCUGACAAAUAACCGAUUUUGAUUCGAAUAUUCCCUUACCCUUCAUGAUCUGCGUUGAUUUUCUUUCUCGCACAUGAAUCUCUUUCAACGGUAGAUGAUGGACGACGGGUAGGAUAUGAUUAAUGAAAUCAUACCCCUCCAUUUGCCCAGUUUUUUACCGAAAAUGAGGAGAUUUUCGGAAUUUUAGAGUUCCUUCUCGGAUUUGGAGAUAAAAAUCGAUUGCUUGGUGAAGAAGCAUAGAAGGUUUGAGACCCCUUAUAUAUUGGGUUGGUGUUCUCAGAUUUAAGGAAGAGGUUCGGGAAAAAACAAGGGUUCUUCAGACGAAAAAAAAUUGGAGAGAGAGUUCGAGGGUUUUGAAGAGAAACUUGGAAGUUUAAUUGGGGGUUUUGCUUCUGUCUCUUCUACUUCCGUUUAAAAAAAAAUCAAAAAAAUAAAAAUAAAAAUAUAUACAUAAUUUUUCUGUUAUUUCUUUCCGUAUCGAUUUUUAAUUUCAACUAUGGAGUUUGAUUGAGGUUUGCCGUGGAGUUUUGGUUGUCGUUCGUGGUUCGAACUCGUGUUUCCAUAUUCGCCUGCCGCUAUUUUAUUUGGUUUUGUUCAAACUUGUCGACAUCGAAGUUAAUUGAAAUUUCAAACAUCCAGGUUCAUUUCUGUAUUCCCUGUCAAGUUUGGUUUUAGUUAGAUUCGAUCUCCCUCCGUUGCUUGAGUUCUGUUUCAUUUUCGUGAUUAAAUGUCUGUGGUUUUUAAAUCUGUUCUGUUGGACAUAUUGGAAAGACUGUUUUAAGUCCUUCACUGUCAUUCUCUCGUCACUUGUGGAAUUUUGUGAUAUAAGAUAUGAUACGGACUCUUCCUGUAGCUUAUCUCUCAAUAGCAUAACAUUUGCUUUUAAAAACUGUUCCAUUUUUAAGCUCACUCAACUUGAAAUCUCUAGUAUUACUGCUCUCGUAAGUGUCCAGUAAAUAUUUUUAAUUUGAAUGUAUUAGCCACUUUGUAUUUGUGGUAAUAGAAAUGAUUUUCUAUGUUUUACGUAUGCUCUAUUACAAUUUGUUAAUCUAGUUCGUGAGAUUGACUUGCAUCAAGGUUAUUUGAGAAGCUAUAAUGCUUAUUAUUUAUUUUUGUGAGUCGUCAUGGGUGGGAGCAGUUUCAAAAAAAUACUAUUAGUCCUAAUCUAGAAGAGCAGGUCAAUUUAAUCCACGUAAUAUUCCAACUGAGUUGCUACUCAUUUUCUUUUCCAUCCAAAUCUGUUCUGAGCUUUGUCUUGCGCUAAAAUUUUCAAGAGCCGGAUUCUUAUUUUUGAUUGAAAAAUUUGGGAAGGGCCAGCAUCAUAUUUUGUUCACUCCUUCGUCUAUU